rnacentral:lncRNA from 1 species
CCUGGAAAUUCGCGAGCAUGAAGUUGGUCUUCUUCAUCUUGGAGGCAAGGGAGAGGCAGGCGAUAGAGAGCAACUGGAUGAUCCACGGCUUCUCUCUCUGCAGCAACCAGAGAUAUGAGGUCUGUUAGAUCAUGUAUUCCUCGAAAGAUUCGAUUCCUUACCUUUUCCUGUUUAUUCGAUUGUUGCAAUUCAUACCUGGAUUUUGCGCUUGGAUAGGAACCGAUCGAUGUAGUUGAUUGCGAGGUAAGCGACGAAGGGAUCCAGAUUGCAAUCGAACUGCGCCUGCCAACGGAGACAAAACGCCGCAAUGAUUGAAGCAGAGCGACGGUAACAAAAACAAGAUGCCUC